UACGUAGGGGGGCAAGCGUUGUCCGGAAUCAUUGGGCGUAAAGAGCGUGUAGGCGGCCAGAUAAGUCCGCUGUGAAAUCUCGAGGCUCAACUUCGAGCUGUCGGUGGAAACUGUCUGGCUAGAGUCCGGAAGAGGAGAAUGGAAUUCCUGGUGUAGCGGUGAAAUGCGCAGAUAUCAGGAAGAACACCCGUGGCGAAGGCGGUUCUCUGGGCCAUAACUGACGCUGAGAAGCGAAAGCAUGGGGAGCGAACAGG
rnacentral:rRNA from 1 species